rnacentral:lncRNA from 1 species
GGAGCUACCAUUUGAUUUUUAUGGGGGUGGGGCUAGGAUGAAAAAUUUUGUCCUGCAUUUUUUUUUAGCUGUAAUCUCUGUCCUGCAUUUUUAUUUUUCACUCUGUUCGGUCCUGCCUUUUUUUUUUUAGUUUAUCCUGACUUUUUUUUACCUAAAUUGUCGUCCUGACUUUUUUUUUUUGCAAGUGUCUCAUCCUGCCUUUUUUUUACUCAAAACUCCUGUCCUGCCUAUUUUUUUCAAAAUUUCAUUCCUAGCCCCCCCCCCCCCCCCCCCAUAAAAAUCAAAUGGUAGCUCCCUUAGGU